AUCACAUUUACUGACAUACAAGGGGUGUAGGUUAUCUCAUUUAUCACAUUUACUGACAUACAAGGGGUGUAGGUUAUCUCAUUUAUCACAUUUACUGACAUACAAGGGGUGUAGGUUGUCUCAUUUAUCACAUUUACUGACAUACAAGGGGUGUAGGUUGUCUCAUUUAUCACAUUUACUGACAUACAAGGGGUGUAGGUUAUCUCAUUUAUCACAUUUACUGACAUACAAGGGGUGUAGGUUAUCUCAUUUAUCACAUUUACUGACAUACAAGGGGUGUAGGUUGUCUCAUUUAUCACAUUUACUGACAUACAAGGGGUGUAGGUUGUCUCAUUUAUCACAUUUACUGACAUACAAGGGGUGCAGGUUAUCUCAUUUAUCACAUUUACUGACAUACAAGGGGUGCAGGUUAUCUCAUUUAUCACAUUUACUGACAUACAAGGGGUGCAGGUUAUCUCAUUUAUCACAUUUACUGACAUACAAGGGGUGUAGAUUAUCUCAUUUAUCACAUUUACUGACAUACAAGGGGUGUAGGUUAUCUCAUUUAUCACAUUUACUGACAUACAAGGGGUGUAGGUUAUCUCAUUUAUCACAUUUACUGACAUACAAGGGGUGCAGGUUAUCUCAUUUAUCACAUUUACUGACAUACAAGGGGUGCAGGUUAUCUCAUUUAUCACAUUUACUGACAUACAAAGGGUGCAGGUUAUCUCAUUUAUCA